rnacentral:rRNA from 1 species
UACGAAGGGUGCAAGCGUUACUCGGAAUUAUUGGGCGUAAAGAGCUCGUAGGCGGUCUGUCGCGUCGGAUGUGAAAACCCAGGGCUCAACCCUGGGCCUGCAUUCGAUACGGGCAGACUAGAGUUCGAUAGGGGAGACUGGAAUUCCUGGUGUAGCGGUGAAAUGCGCAGAUAUCAGGAGGAACACCGGUGGCGAAGGCGGGUCUCUGGGCCGAAACUGACGCUGAGGAGCGAAAGCGUGGGGAGCAAACAGG